CAGUAAAUGAUUCACUGGUUACCUGCAAAGUAAUUAAAAGGUUAGUGAUUCAGUUAGUUGAAAUAUACCUUGAAGCUAAGGAAUUAUGAUCCUUAAUUAGAAGUAGAAUAGAAUAUAUCUGUGAGAAUAUGUAGCAUAAACAGGUUAGUUGACAUAAAACUUAUACAUUUCUACCUUAAAAAAUGAUUAACAAGUGGAUAUUCAUCUACAAGGAAAUAUUGCUGCCCAAGACAUUUAAAGAAAAAAAAUUAUAGACUAGGGAGACCAUCACCUAGGUUUUUUCAGUAGCCUUUUUAAGCAAACAACUUAAUUUUGAUGUGAUUCAACGACAUAAAUUAGAACCAACAGAAGCUCGAAUGAUCAAUCUUUUAUGUUUUUCAUCUAUCAAAUUAGCACCAAAAAUGUCCAGACCAAAAAUUACUCCUACUACAUCCAUCACAGGAUGGAAAGAAAUAUUACAACACUUAAGUUGUACGAGUUUCAUAGAAGUUUUGAACUUAAAGAAAUUUAAAAUCUGAAAUGGGGUUAAAUGGCACAAUUAUAAUUAGGAAACAAUGUAAUCAUGAUUAAGUUCCACAGAUACAGAUGAAGAGCAAAUAGAAUCAUAAAUGUCAUAGAAGCUAAUUCUUCUAAAGUGAUAAGCACCAACUUCUUUAGGAGAAGAAUGCUGAAGUCUAAACUAUUUUAUUGAUUACAGGUUUCAUGUGAAAAAAGAAUACACAACCUGCAAAGUACAUCAUUUUUCUCAGUCAUAGUGGUGUGAGAUAAAUGCGAAGAUAGCAAUCAGAUAACAGAAUCCAUAGGGAGACCAUCACCUAGCCUUUUUAAGCAAACAACUAAAUUUUGU
rnacentral:misc_RNA from 1 species